AUUGAACGCUGGCGGCAGGCUUAACACAUGCAAGUCGAGCGGGGGAAGGUAGCUUGCUACCGGACCUAGCGGCGGACGGGUGAGUAAUGCUUAGGAAUCUGCCUAUUAGUGGGGGACAACAUCUCGAAAGGGAUGCUAAUACCGCAUACGUCCUACGGGAGAAAGCAGGGGAUCACUUGUGACCUUGCGCUAAUAGAUGAGCCUAAGUCGGAUUAGCUAGUUGGUGGGGUAAAGGCCUACCAAGGCGACGACCUGUAGCGGGUCUGAGAGGAUGUACCGCAAGACUGGGACUGAGCCACGGCCCAGACUCCUACGGGAGGCAGCAGUGGGGAAUAUUGGACAAUGGGGGGAACCCUGAUCCAGCCAUGCCGCGUGUGUGAAGAAGGCCUUAUGGUUGUAAAGCACUUUAAGCGAGGAGGAGGCUCUUUUGGUUAAUACCCAAGAUGAGUGGACGUUACUCGCAGAAUAAGCACCGGCUAACUCUGUGCCAGCCGCCGCAGUAA
rnacentral:rRNA from 1 species